rnacentral:rRNA from 1 species
UGGGGAAUUUUGGACAAUGGGCGCAAGCCUGAUCCAGCCAUGCCGCGUGCGGGAAGAAGGCCUUCGGGUUGUAAACCGCUUUUGUCAGGGAAGAAAUCUUCUGAGUUAAUACCUCGGGAGGAUGACGGUACCUGAAGAAUAAGCACCGGCUAACUACGUGCCAGCAGCCGCGGUAAUACGUAGGGUGCAAGCGUUAAUCGGAAUUACUGGGCGUAAAGCGUGCGCAGGCGGUUUUGUAAGACAGAGGUGAAAUCCCCGGGCUCAACCUGGGAACUGCCUUUGUGACUGCAAGGCUUGAGUGCGGCAGAGGGGGGAUGGAAUUCCGCGUGUAGCAGUGAAAUGCGUAGGUAUGCGGAGGAAACACCGAUGGCGAAGGCAAUCCCCUGGGCCUGCACUGACGCUCAUGCACGAAAGCGUGGGGAGCAAACAGGAUUAGAUAGCCCUGGUAGUCCACGCCCUAAAACGAUGUCAAACUGGUUGUUGGGAAGGUUCCUUCUCAGUAACGUAGCUAACGCGUGAA